CGCAGGAAGCUGUAGGCUUGAAGUGUUGUAGCUUGCGUGUGCUUCAUUGCUUGUUUGGUUGCGUGGCAGUCAAACGCGCAAUCAAGCUCACUCAAACUACAACACUUGUAGCGGGCAAUCGAACGCGAGAUUGUGCAGUUAUAAUGAUAAACGAACAGCAUGGAUAAACUUAUUGCAAACAAAAUAACAUAAAAUAAAUACGUUGAAGAUAAAGCGCGAAAUCUGUCAUUUUCAAAGUACUUAUAAAGGCAGUUGUGCAGCAUUAAGAGCACUGUUAUGAAGGCUUGCUUACAUCGUUAGUUCUGUUACAAUUAAAGGACUGCCCAUUCCUCUGUAUUUCUUCUUAAAACAAGCCUUUCUUUACGCAUGGGUCUUGCAGUAGAUUUGGAAUUAACUGCCCACUACUACAGGUACUGGCAGUGCACAGCAAACCUCUUCAUAUAUAGAUUCAUAAAUUACAAAGAGGCAUUUGAUUCAGUACAGAUACCAGCAAUCAUGAAGGCAUUGCUUAGUCUAGGAGUAUGAGAAGCAUACAUGAAUAUCUUAGCGUAUUAUAUGUGUAAAGACUCCAAAGCUACCCUAAUUCUCCCCAAGAAAAACAAAUAUGCCUGUAAGAAAGGGGUCAGGCAAGGAGACACAAUCUCUUCAGUGCUUUCCACUGCACGCUUAGAAGUAUUCAAGCCAUUAGACUGCAAACAAUUAAGGAUGAAGAUCAACAAAAUUCUCGGCAACCUACAGCCUGCAGGUGGCACUGUCCUGUUCAGCAAUAUUGAUGAUGACUUGCAACAAACGAUUAAAGACUUUAGCAGACAAAGUGUACCCCUGCCACAUGGUCACAGACAAUGACAUUAACUGGCUAAUACCUUAAACUUUAAUGUCAUUCGCGGGGUGCCACACAAACAUGCUUAAUGGCAUUAACGCUUAAUGCCAUUCUCGUAACUCACUUCGCCGUCAAAUGCGUACUCUUGUUCUCAAUGUCUUCAUAUUCUGACGUGACUAAACGAACUAUUAGUGAAGAACAAUUAAUAUAUUCCUCUCUUUCUUUCUCGCGGUGUAGUGUGUUCUUACAAUUAUUACAACUCACUUGGUGUUGAAUGUGUACUCUAGUUUACAAUGUCCCUGCCGUGGCCGUAGGGACCAUAUUCUCAUGAUAUUAAGCAAACUUGUAGAUAAAAACAACUAAUAUAUUCACUUUUUUAAAUGGAGCUCUUUAUUUUUGUACAGAUCAGCAGGCGAUCUUGCUGCUACUCACGGCUAGAGCACUAAUCGUGCGUGUGUUAGCCAGGAGAAGCUGUUCGAUUGCACGGCGGCAGCUCCUUGCCUUGUUAGCCUCAUACUGAAGCAUUCAAAUUUCUCACCGAUGCAAACUGGAGCACACGGUCAAAUUCUUCAGGAUCGCUGCGGGAGAGCUUUGAAGCUCUGGAGACUGCCUCACUCCGAAAGGAAAAGAAGAUGGCUGCUGAUUGCUCAGGCACUGGCUGCUCACACCUUCCAGAGAGCAUGGAUUUAUUUGUGUAUAAUAAAACUUCUUGUGUGGUAGUAUAAUGUUAUCAAGCCCUUUCAGCAUGUAUACGACAUCGCUCUACCAACUCAUUGCCGAGUUCCAUUGCAUGCUCCCGUGAUUUUCGACCAGCCACUGCAAGCAAAGUAAAGGGAAGCGGACUAAUGGCAGAUGCCGGCACCACCCUCCUCAUCCGCUUGUAUAUUUUCACGGCGCUGGCUCAGCCCCAUCGAAACUCUCUCCACUUGAGCGUGCUCCUUGCCUCUUGUCAGCCAAUCAGAUAAGAACAACCACUCGAUGUAGGCAAUGUUAUUUGUUUAUAAGGCAAACAAAAGUGGCCUCCUACAAAUGAGGAGAGCAUAUUAUUGGGCUAUUAAGACAGCGUUGUGGGCCACCACCCGGUGCUUGCGUGGGCAGCUGCGUAAAUGUGACAUUAGGAGACUGCAAUAAAAACAGAUUGAAAUAGUUUUACGUUAUAGGGCCUCAGGUCUACGUCCGAUUCCCCAAACUAGGUUGGCCUACUUUUAUUGCAUAACUCAUCUUGAUUGGCAGACAUACAUCGGCAUACAUAGUCUUUGUUGUUUUCUGUUUCCUCCCAUCUAUUUUCCACUUUGUAAUAAAAUCAUGCAUAAAUUA